rnacentral:rRNA from 1 species
GGAUUGACACGACUCUCGGCAAUGGAUAUCUCGGCUCUCGCAUCGAUGAAGAGCGCAGCGAAAUGCGAUAUGUGGUGCGAAUUGCAGAAUCCCGCGAACCAUCGAGUCUUUGAACGCAAGUUGCGCCCAAGGCCAACCUCCCAAGGGCACGUCUGCCUGGGCGUCAAG